CUUUAAAACAGCAGGAAAACACUGGGCCAGAAUCCAAGACAGCAGGAUAAGAACUUCUUUCCUGCCACUUACUAGCUAGAAGACCACAGGCUUCAUUAUCGUUCCUAGGGUCCUCAUCUGCUUAAGCUGAACUAAUUCAACAUUUACUAAACAUCUACUAUAAAGCCUAUCAUAGGAUUAGGUGCUUGAACUAGAAAAGUUGUCGGAGACUUUUAUGUAUGACAGAUUGCUCCAACCUCAAAAGAAAAAUACUUCUAUAUAUCAAGUUCAGCUAUGUCCUUUCCCGAGAAUGAGCUAUCGACUCAAGGAACUAAGUCCUGUAUCACUGACACAAAGAACUGAAUAAAGGAUAUAAACAGAGACCCCCGCAGUCAGCUAGAGCUCUGUCCUCAGAGGUCUGGACCGCAAACCCACGGGGUCACUCCUCCACAAGAGACAGCAGCAAAGAGAGCAACACCUGCUCCUCAAAGGUCUGCAUUUCAGCAGUGAUCCCAACUGCCUCCUUUGUCCCCCAGCCCAAAAGGUGGUAAGCGCUUUCCUGCAGUCACAAUUUGUGGUACCUAGAAUUCUUUUUACCCUUUAUU